rnacentral:lncRNA from 1 species
CAAAGGUCUUAUGAGUGAGGGGUUGAACAUCUCUUCCAGUCCAUCUCUACCCUGCUUCCUCCAUUCCAGGGUCUAGAGUCAGGUUCUGUAUACAGAAGCUAUGUAAUGAUUGAGGCCUAAAGAAUUAAGUUAAAAAAGGCUGAAGACAGGGAAAUGUGAGACUAUAAUUACAGGUUUUGUUCCAUUCUUCCUAGUCAGAGGCAGGGAUGUGGCAUUAAAUCAAUGUUGGGAAUAGAUCUUGAAAUCACAUGCCAUUUUUUAAUCUCUUGAAAGGUCCCCUGUCCAUCUAAGGCAGAAAUCUGAAGUCUAACAGUCUCCCAGAAAGCUGCUAAGAUAUCCUGUGGGUCUUUCCUGAGAGAUGGACUGGCAUUCCCCAGGCUCUGGGUGCUUUAGCACAGUGGUCCCCAACCUUUUUGGCACCAGGGAACAUUUCAUGGAAGACAGUUUUGUUACAGACGGGGGCAGGGUGGGGAGGUGAUUUUGGUUUCUCUCAUCACUCAACUCCUACUAUGUGGCCCUGUUUGGGACCCCUGCUUUACCAGAUGUGCAGAGUCACAGGCUAUGAAAGUGGGCAUGAUCUGGGCAAGUGGCUAUAUUCCAGGCAAAACGUAAGAAAUGCCAGCAAAAGGAAAACUUCUUUGCUUUGUUAAAGGAUUUAAAACAGCACUCGAUGGAAGGGAGAAACAAAAUGUGACCCAGGGUGCUUGUUCUCAGCUUUUUACCAGGAAGAGAAUUUCAUAUGAACCAGGGUCAGGAGAUUGUGCUGGAAUGGAAACUUGAGGCUAACUAGCUUACUACAAGAUAUGAGGGCUACGAAGCAGACAGCCCUCAGCCCAUGUAACCUUUCCCUGCUCACACUUGGGUUAAAUAGCCAGAGCGUGCUGAGAAAUUCCAUCCUUUGCUAUAGAGGGAGAGAAGGGAUUUUACACACCUAGGAAAUGGUAGUCAAAAAAGGGGUGUGACCUCCAGGGAUCCUCUUGCAGACCACCUGGAUCCUCCUUUAACUUUGCAGGGCCCUGCUUGAUGCCAAGUGGAACUGUUGACCAGAAGGCCCUGACCAACUCUGGAUCUGAAUCUUUUAGGAUGGGGGAAAAGGCAAGGAAGGUCUCAGCCUGAAUGCAGCUAGGAGGAAUAAGCCUCCUUGUUCUUUAAGGCUAUUUCUAAUUCAAAUCCCUAAGGUAUCCAUUUUUCCCCUUCUUUGGAAGCAGGAGAGUUGGGGAGAAGAGUAGCAGGUCUCCUGAUAACAGGAGCCUUGUGGCAUCUCCACCUAUACUUCCCACAUGCACAGGUGAGCUGUUGCCCCAAGUCCAAGAUUCUCUGAGGGCUCUGAUUUGUGGGCAGACACUAUCAUUUAAAAGUUAAACCAAAUAAAAGCUUAUUUAUACUUAAACUUGUCCUGUUUUGAGGUUCUAGCCCCAGCUCUUUUGGGAAAGUGGGUAAUAGUUUUUAGCUACUUUCCAUUAGAAUUCUCCUCUGUCACAUCUCCCACAUGUGAUCUAUAUGGAUCACAGGUGUAACUGGCUCAAGACCAUUUUGGUCAGGUUUAAACAAACAAAUCGCCUUUUCUCCUUUUAUACCUAAAAAUAUAACCUUACAGCCUCUCUCCUGAUUGAGAAAAGAAAAUUGUCUUUUCAUCUUCCCUUUGGACUUUACUACUCUUGAGAGUCCUGCUGCUGCUGCUGCUGCUAAGUCGCUUCAGUCAUGUCCGACUCUGUGCA